AAUUAGCCCCGAUUGCAGUGGUUAUCCUUUUUUUUGGUUGGGAAAUCAGUGUGAGGGCGAAAAAAAGAUAGUAACGGAAAGCGGGAAUUUGU
rnacentral:sRNA from 1 species